rnacentral:rRNA from 1 species
AGUGAACGCUGGCGGUAGGCCUAACACAUGCAAGUCGAACGGCAGCACAGGAGAGCUUGCUCCCUAGGUGGCGAGUGGCGGACGGGUGAGGAAUACAUCGGAAUCUGCCCAGUCGUGGGGGAUAACGUAGGGAAACUUACGCUAAUACCGCAUACGACCUUCGGGUGAAAGAGGGGGAUCGCAAGACCUCUCGCGAUUGGAUGAGCCGAUGUCGGAUUAGCUAGUUAGCGGGGUAAUGGCCCACCAAGGCGACGAUCCGUAGCUGGUCUGAGAGGAUGAUCAGCCACACUGGAACUGAGACACGGUCCAGACUCCUACGGGAGGCAGCAGUGGGGAAUAUUGGACAAUGGGCGCAAGCCUGAUCCAGCCAUACCGCGUGGGUGAAGAAGGCCUUCGGGUUGUAAAGCCCUUUUGUUGGGAAAGAAAUCUUUCAGGCUAAUACCCUGGGAGGAUGACGGUACCCAAAGAAUAAGCACCGGCUAACUUCGUG